GAUUGAACGCUGGCGGCAGGCUUAACACAUGCAAGUCGAGCGGAGUGAUGGUGCUUGCACUAUCACUUAGCGGCGGACGGGUGAGUAAUGCUUAGGAAUCUGCCUAUUAGUGGGGGACAACAUUUCGAAAGGAAUGCUAAUACCGCAUACGUCCUACGGGAGAAAGCAGGGGAUCUUCGGACCUUGCGCUAAUAGAUGAGCCUAAGUCGGAUUAGCUAGUUGGUGGGGUAAAGGCCUACCAAGGCGACGAUCUGUAGCGGGUCUGAGAGGAUGAUCCGCCACACUGGGACUGAGACACGGCCCAGACUCCUACGGGAGGCAGCAGUGGGGAAUAUUGGACAAUGGGCGCAAGCCUGAUCCAGCCAUGCCGCGUGUGUGAAGAAGGCCUUAUGGUUGUAAAGCACUUUAAGCGAGGAGGAGGCUACUGAAGUUAAUACCUUCAGAUAGUGGACGUACUCGCAGAAUAAGC
rnacentral:rRNA from 2 species